GGGGAUUUAGCUCAGCGGCAUAAGCACCUGCCUUGCAAGCAGGAAGUCCUGAGUUCAAUCCCUG
rnacentral:tRNA from 1 species